CCUACGGGAGGCAGCAGUGAGGAAUCUUGGUCAAUGGACGAGAGUCUGAACCAGCAAAGUAGCGUGAAGGAUGACUGCCCUAUGGGUGGUAAACUCCUUUUAUAAAGGAAUAAAACGAGGCUCGUGUGCCUUUUUGCAUGUACUUUAUGAAUAAGGAUAGCCUAACUCAGUGACAGCAGCCGCGGUAAUACGGAGGAUCCGAGCGUUAUCCGGAUUUAUUGGGUUGAAAGGGAGCGUAGAUGGGUUGUUAAGUCAGUUGUGAAAGUUUGCGGCUCAACCGUAAAAUUGCAAUGGAUACUGGGAGACUUGAGUACAGAUGAGGUAGGUGGAAUUCGUGGUGUAGCGGUGAAAUGCUUAGAUAUAACGAAGAACCCCAGUUGCGAAGGCAGCUUACUAAACUGUGACUGACAUUGAUGCUCGAAAGUGUGGGUAGCAAACAGGAUUAGAUACCCUUGUAGUC
rnacentral:rRNA from 1 species